rnacentral:rRNA from 1 species
AACGAACGCUGGCGGCAGGCUUAACACAUGCAAGUCGAGCGCCCCGCAAGGGGAGCGGCAGACGGGUGAGUAACGCGUGGGAAUCUACCCAUCUCUACGGAAUAACGCAUGGAAACGCGUGCUAAUACCGUAUACGUCCUUCGGGAGAAAGAUUUAUCGGGGAUGGAUGAGCCCGCGUUGGAUUAGCUAGUUGGUGGGGUAAAGGCCUACCAAGGCGACGAUCCAUAGCUGGUCUGAGAGGAUGAUCAGCCACACUGGGACUGAGACACGGCCCAGACUCCUACGGGAGGCAGCAGUGGGGAAUAUUGGACAAUGGGCGCAAGCCUGAUCCAGCCAUGCCGCGUGAGUGAUGAAGGCCCUAGGGUUGUAAAGCUCUUUCACCGGUGAAGAUAAUGACGGUAACCGGAGAAGAAGCCCCGGCUAACUUCGUGCCAGCAGCCGCCGUAAAAC